rfam:Puccinia graminis f. sp. tritici CRL 75-36-700-3 supercont2.6 genomic scaffold, whole genome shotgun sequence.
GCUCCCCUGGCGUAAUGGUAACGCGUUGGACUUCUAUCUCCGAGGUGUGCAUCGGGAUCCAAAGACUGCGGGUUCGAGCCCCGCGGGGAGUG